rnacentral:rRNA from 1 species
CCUACGGGUGGCAGCAGUGAGGAAUAUUGGUCAAUGGGCGCUAGCCUGAACCAGCCAAGUAGCGUGAAGGAUGACUGCCCUAUGGGUUGUAAACUUCUUUUAUAUGGGAAUAAAGUGCAGUAUGUAUACUGCUUUGCAUGUACCUUAUGAAUAAGGAUCGGCUAACUCCGUGCCAGCAGCCGCGGUAAUACGGAGGAUGCGAGCGUUAUCCGGAUUUAUUGGGUUUAAAGGGUGCGUAGGCGGGCUUUUAAGUCAGCGGUAAAAAUUCGGGGCUCAACCCCGUCCGGCCGUUGAAACUGGGGGCCUUGAGUGGGCGAGAAGAAGGCGGAAUGCGUGGUGUAGCGGUGAAAUGCAUAGAUAUCACGCAGAACCCCGAUUGCGAAGGCAGCCUUCCGGCGCCCUACUGACGCUGAGGCACGAAAGUGCGGGGAUCGAACAGGAUUAGAUACCCCUGUAGUC